GACGAACGCUGGCGGCGUGCUUAACACAUGCAAGUCGAACGGAAAGGCCCUGCUUUUGUGGGGUGCUCGAGUGGCGAACGGGUGAGUAACACGUGAGUAACCUGCCCUUGACUUUGGGAUAACUUCAGGAAACUGGGGCUAAUACCGGAUAGGAGCUCCUGCUGCAUGGUGGGGGUUGGAAAGUUUCGGCGGUUGGGGAUGGACUCGCGGCUUAUCAGCUUGUUGGUGGGGUAGUGGCUUACCAAGGCUUUGACGGGUAGCCGGCCUGAGAGGGUGACCGGCCACAUUGGGACUGAGAUACGGCCCAGACUCCUACGGGAGGCAGCAGUGGGGAAUAUUGCACAAUGGGCGGAAGCCUGAUGCAGCAACGCCGCGUGCGGGAUGACGGCCUUCGGGUUGUAAACCGCUUUCGCCUGUGACGAAGCGUGAGUGACGGUAAUGGGUAAAGAAGCACCGGCUAACUACGUGCCAGCAGCCGCGGUGAUACGUAGGGUGCGAGCGUUGUCCGGAUUUAUUGGGCGUAAAGGGCUCGUAGGUGGUUGAUCGCGUCGGAAGUGUAAUCUUGGGGCUUAACCCUGAGCGUGCUUUCGAUACGGGUUGACUUGAGGAAGGUAGGGGAGAAUGGAAUUCCUGGUGGAGCGGUGGAAUGCGCAGAUAUCAGGAGGAACACCAGUGGCGAAGGCGGUUCUCUGGGCCUUUCCUGACGCUGAGGAGCGAAAGCGUGGGGAGCGAACAGGCUAGAUACCCUGGUAGUCCACGCUGUAAACGGUGGGUACUAGGUGUGGGGUCCAUUCCACGGGUUCCGUGCCGUAGCUAACGCUUUAAGUACCCCGCCUGGGGAGUACGGCCGCAAGGCUAAAACUCAAAGGAAUUGACGGGGCCCCGCACAAGCGGCGGAGCAUGCGGAUUAAUUCGAUGCAACGCGUAGAACCUUACCUGGGUUUGACAUGGAUCGGGAGUGCUCAGAGAUGGGUGUGCCUCUUUUGGGGUCGGUUCACAGGUGGUGCAUGCCUGUCGUCAGCUCGUGUCGUGAGAUGUUGGGUUAAGUCCCGCAACGAGCGCAACCCUUGUUCACUGUUGCCAGCACGUUAUGGUGGGGACUCAGUGGAGACCGCCGGGGUCAACUCGGAGGAAGGUGGGGAUGACGUCAAGUCCUCAUGCCCCUUAUGUCCAGGGCUUCACGCAUGCUACAAUGGCUGGUACAGAGAGUGGCGAGCCUGUGAGGGUGAGCGAAUCUCGGAAAGCCGGUCUCAGUUCGGAUUGGGGUCUGCAACUCGACCUCAUGAAGUCGGAGUCGCUAGUAAUCGCAGAUCAGCAACGCUGCGGUGAAUACGUUCCCGGG
rnacentral:rRNA from 1 species